rnacentral:sRNA from 1 species
UUCUUCAUGUCUGCAUU